rnacentral:rRNA from 1 species
GACAGAGGGUGCAAACGUUGUUCGGAAUUACUGGGCGUAAAGCGCACGUAGGCGGCUUUGUAAGUUAGAGGUGAAAGCCCGGGGCUCAACUCCGGAAUUGCCUUUAAGACUGCAUCGCUAGAAUUGUGGAGAGGUAAGUGGAAUUCCGAGUGUAGAGGUGAAAUUCGUAGAUAUUCGGAAGAACACCAGUGGCGAAGGCGACUUACUGGACACAUAUUGACGCUGAGGUGCGAAAGCGUGGGGAGCAAACAGGG